ensembl:ncRNA lncRNA:CR44269 long non-coding RNA:CR44269
CUUCAAUUGUCUAUAUAAUUCAUAUUUCAAAAAUAUAUGAUAAAUGAUAUAGGAAAUGAACGCUUUAGUAAUUAUCAGGCCCUUUUUGCGAAAAGCCUGCACAAUGAAGAUCCGAGAUGCGAUCACUAAAUAGUGAUCCUCUGGUGCUGUUCGAGCAUUUCAAAAUAUUUUAAUCGUGGAUUUCAGUGGAUGUGAAGAUUUAUGAACAUAAUAAUAACAAAUUUGCUAAUUGAUUUAUUGUCGAGUGUAUAAACACCAUUCGCUUAAUUUAUGCCGCUGCCGUCUGAGUAUUCCUUCCUUUUGUACUUCCUUUGAACCAGCUCGGAGUCAGCGAAUUUAUGCACUGGAGGAGCAACCAGUGAGCUAAAGCAAUCAGGCCGGGCAUCGAACGACGAGCACUGGGCGCGCAUUUUGGGAUGGGAUGAUGUACGACGAAUGUCCUGCUACAGUCGCAAGCACACACACUCACACUGGUGCACAAACCGUUCAUUAUAAAGGAGUCAGGUCGUCAGGUGAGCUGAGCGAGAGACAACGCAACCGCAGGCAAUCACUGGCAACAGGCAACACAAAUUAAUUAUUAAUCAACGGGAGAAGAAGCAUCUGAAGGAAGUGGGGACCGUAACCCUCCCCUUCAACGCUCGAUCCGCGAUCGUCCAGCCACGAGAGUGAUUUAUGCCCUCAAGUCUCUGCUCCCAGAGCUAACGAAUCUCAGAAAGCCAGCCCCUAUCCAAGCCCCAAUGCCAGACCGAAACCAACUGACAAUGUUCCGGCCAAGAUGGACGAUGCCGAUGGACGGCGAUGGAGAUGAAGACUAAGCCCAAAACCAAGACGAAGACGAAGGCCAUGCAAUCAAGCCCGGCCAACACUCAGCGGUAGAUCGCACACAAGGUCAAGCACUCAAGCAAAAAUGCCGGUGCUUGAUUUUUAAUUUAGUUUUAAUUUUUUUUAUAUAUUUUUUAAAUACUUGGCUUUAAACAACAUAUGAAGCGAUUAAAUUAAAC